CCUACGGGUGGCUGCAGUGGGGAAUAUUGGACAAUGGGGGAAACCCUGAUCCAGCGACGCCGCGUGAGUGAAGAAGUAUUUCGGUACGUAAAGCUCUAUCAGCAGGAAAGAAAAUGACGGUACCUGACUCAGAAGCCCCGGCUAACUACGUGCCAGCAGCCGCGGUUAUGCGUAGGGUGCCAGCGUUAUCCGGAUUUACUGGGUGUAAGGGGAGCGUAGGCGGCAGGGUAAGUCUGGAGUGAAAUGCCGGGGCCCAACCCCGGAACUGCUCUGGAUACUGUGAAGCUGGAGUGCAGGAGAGGUAAGCGGAAUUCAUGGUGUAGCGGUGAAAUGCGUAGAGAUCAGGAGGAACACCGGCGGCGAAGGCAGCUUACUGGACUGUAACUGACGUUGAGGCUCGAAGGCGUGGGGAGCAAACAGGAUUAGAUACCCUGGUAGUC
rnacentral:rRNA from 1 species